AUUAGGGGGAAGGUGAGAACCUUCGACAAGGUUCGAGUCGAGCGUAGCGAGACAACGCACGUAGUGCGGCCCGAAGGGCGAGGAACGAAGUGACGAGUCAUCCUUCCCCCACCACCA
rnacentral:sRNA from 1 species